CCCACAGAGCCAGCAUGCCCUCUGCCACCUGUCCAGCCACCUGCCCCAGGCAGCCGUGUUCUAACAGCAAGGGCUCACCUGUAGCCAAAACCAUAACCAGUUUGCAACGGGAACCGCAAAGGGAAAACAAAGGGCGCAACUUUCCUCCCGCAGAAAGGAAAUGCGUCUUUCUGCAGCGAAUAUUUAGCGUCUGGAAGUUCUCCGCCGAGUUAGGUGCCCAGCCGGUGCGCAGCCAGGGAAAGCCCCCUCUCCCCGCUUUCCCCAGAGGGAGGGAGAGCCGGUCAGAGAACGCGCAUCCCUGGUCUUAAGGGCACGAAAACACAUGCGAGUCAAGGAAGAGCCCCCACACGCCGAGUCCGGUUGGAUUUCCCAGGGGACCACAGUCUUCCCGUUCAAGAAUAUAAGUGAUCUCCAGGAGACGCGGACCGUCCUGUCUUGCCCUGCAUCGUGUCGCCAGCGUCUAAAGCAGUGUCUGGCAUUUAGUACUUAGUUGCACCAUAAACAAUGGGGAGCGGAUGGAUGCAUGCAGGAAUGAGGAAAGAAAGAAGAAAGUCCUGGCGUCUGGGAUGCCCGAACGGGAUACCCAACUCCAUCUGGGAAGGCUUCCGGGAGAAAUGAUGCCUGAGAGAAGCAAGGAGCUAGCAGGAGUUAGCCCUGACAGGAGAGUGGUGUUCUAGGAGGAAGAACCAGGCUGGGCAAAGUCCCGGAGGCGAGAAAGAACAAGUGUCCAGGAGAAAACGGAAGUCGCACAUAGCCUGAAGGGAGCAAAAUAGCAAGAAGGGAUGAGCACGGCCGGCCUGUCAGAUAGGGCUUUGUAAACCUGAUAAAGGGGUUAGUCCUGAGUAUUAACAGGAAGCCCUUGGCAGGGCUGGGUCACAAAGCUGGGGCCUGUGAUCCAGCCUUUGAAGUAAUCAGGGCAGGUGGCUGCCCUGGAUCAUUAGGAGGGGCCACAGAGAUAGAGAAGUGGACUCAGAAAGGGAGUGAUCUGUAGGUGGAGGCAGGAGGCAUAGGUGAGUGGGGUGAGGCCCCCUGGGCUAGCCAGGAAGUGCCAGAUGAUGAUAGCCGGGUAGGUGGAGCCUUCCUGGGAGGGCACAGAAGAGUACACUUGUUUUCGCUGCUACACAGGUAAGAGGGGCAAAUCCUUAGGGGGCUACAUGACCGUCCCCUUGCUGUCCCAGAGGGCUGCUGCUGGAGACUCAGUGGCCCCUGGCCUGCCCGCCCAUCAACAUGCCCUGACCCCCACUACUCAGAGUGACACUUUCCAAAGGCAAAACAAGUGAACCCAUCUAGCAUGGGGACAUGACCAGGGAAAUGUACUCACAUCCAGGGUAGGGCCUAUCAGGGCCUAAUGCAGGAACACACUGGGACAGGCCCAGAGCCCCCAUGCAUUGCCCAGUGCUAUAGCCACUAGCCACAUGUGGCUACUUCAGUUUCAAUUCCAGUUAAUUCAAAUUAAAAGUUCAGUUCCUCAGUCACACUAGCCGCAUUUCAAAUACAGAAUAGCCAGCCAUGUGUGACUUAGCAGCUACCACACGGGACAGCACCAGUAUAGAACAUUUCCAUCAUCAUAUGGAGGUAGUUAUGGCUCUCAUAAGCUGACCAUGGGGCAGACACACCAGACAAACUGACCAGUGAUCUUUUUUUUUUCUUUUAAAGAUUUUAUUUAUUUGACAGAGAGAGAUCACAGAGAGAUUUUAUUUAUUUGACAGAGAGAGAGAGAGAGAGAGAGAGGAGGGAGCAGGCUCCCUGCCUAGUAGAGAGCCCAAUGCAGAACUCGAUCCCAGGACUCUGAGAUCAUGACCUGAGCUGAAGGCAGAGGCUUAACCCACUGAGCCACCCAGGCAGCCCCUGACCAGUGAUUCUAAUCCUCACACAAGCCCCACAGAGCAAGUUCGCUAGGCCUUGAGGUUCAGAUAGAUACCUCUUCCAAGGAGUGGAAAAGAGAUAGAGUUUGGACCUGGGCCUUGAGACUCCAAAGUUCUUGAUGCUUCUAGGCUAGCCUUCCCAGGAAGCUCGACCUGAAGGAGCUAGUAGGAAGCAAGAGGAGAGAAGGGACUGUUACAGGCUGAACUGUGCUCCUAUCCGCCCCAACAGUCACACGUUGAAGUCCUAACUAUCCUUCAGAUGUUAUUCUUAACAUCGGAACCUGACUGUGUUUGGAGAUGGGGCCUUUAAAGAAGGCAUCAAGUUAAAAUGAGGCCAUUAGAAUGGGCCAUAAUCCAGGAUGACUGGUAUCCUACUGGCCACAGACAGGCUCAGUAGGAUGACCAUGUGAAGAGACACAGAGAUGGCAUCUACGAGCCAAGGAAAGAGGCUUGUCAACUCUGAAGAAGAAACGGACUCUGCCAAUCUUGAUUUCAGACUUCUGGCCUGUAGACAUGUGAGAAAAAUUUCUGCUGAAACCCCCA